CUGGGCCGCACGCGCGCUACACUGAUGUAUUCAACGAGUAUAUAGCCUUGGCCGACAGGCCCGGGUAAUCUUGGGAAAUUUCAUCGUGAUGGGGAUAGAUCAUUGCAAUUGUUGGUCUUCAACGAGGAAUCGCUAGUAAGCGCGAGUCAUCAGCUCGCGUUGACUACGUCCCUGCCCUUUGUACACACCGCCCGUCGCUCCUACCGAUUGAAUGGUCCGGUGAAGUGUUCGGAUCGC
rnacentral:ncRNA from 1 species